rnacentral:lncRNA from 10 species
GGGGGAGCUGCGUUCAAGAUUUGGCUUGAGUAUUUCCUAGCUGUUGAAGACAGCAGGAGUCUAUAAAGCAAAUCUGAAACGCUUUCUAAGUAAAAGCAAAAGUGCUUUCCUUGAGGAUCACAGAGAUAUGAUAAGUUACUGAGACAGGUUGGCAAAUAUUUUUAUAUUUCCAUUUAUAUCCACUGCAUAAAUGCUUGAAUUUCCCAAAUACUGAUUCAAAGUAGUAACAUAUGAUCAGAUAUGGAGAACCAAUGAUCUGUCUAUUGCUAAUAUAAGGCUACUAUUUGGAGAUCAAACAAUGAUUAUUGGGGAAAGACAAUACAAGCUUCCAAAUCCUAAAAUCUUUUUAAUCUUCUGAUACUUAAAUUUUUUCGAGAGUGGCCACUGGUCCUUCUUUUAGGGUACUUUUGUUGGAUAUGAUUGGUGGUUGUAAUUAAUGGUAUGCCAAAUUCUCCAGUCUUUGCAGAGAUAGGUAAAGCACCAAAAUUGUCCUAGCCAUUUCUUGGCCAUCAGUUUGAGAGAAAAAUGCUUUUUUUUUUUUUUUUUUAACACCUCAAACUCCCCUCAGCCCCAAUAUCCUGGCAUCUUUAGUGAGUCAGGACAAU